rnacentral:tRNA from 1 species
GCGGGGGUCACCUAGCCUGGUCAAUGGUGCCAGCUUCAGAAGCUGGUUCCUUAGUGGAUACGUGGGUUCAAAUCCCACCCCCCGCA